GACGAAUGCUGGCUGCGUGCUUAACACAUGCAAGUCGAACGGUGAAAGGGAGCUUGCUCCCUGGAUCAGUGGCGAACGGGUGAGUAACACGUGGGCAACCUGCCCCUCACUCUGGGAUAACUCCGGGAAACCGGGGCUAAUACCGGAUACGACCUGGUGCGACAUCGCACCGGGUGGAAAGAACUUCGGUGAGGGAUGGGCCCGCGGCCUAUCAGCUUGUUGGUGGGGUAACGGCCCACCAAGGCGACGACGGGUAGCCGGCCUGAGAGGGCGACCGGCCACACUGGGACUGAGACACGGCCCAGACUCCUACGGGAGGCAGCAGUGGGGAAUAUUGCGCAAUGGGCGAAAGCCUGACGCAGCGACGCAGCGUGAGGGACGAAGGCCUUCGGGUUGUAAACCUCUUUCAGCGGGGACGAAGCGAAAGUGACGGUACCCGCAGAAGAAGCACCGGCUAACUACGUGCCAGCAGCCGCAGUAA
rnacentral:rRNA from 1 species